AACAUUGAAGUAAAAUUUACAUUUAGUUUCGACCUAAAAUAAGGGUUACCCCUAUGUUU
rnacentral:tRNA from 1 species